GUGCUGGGCAGGUGCGCGGUCUUUAGCUCUCAUCCGCCGUCUGCUGUGAGGUGAGAGUUAUAGGGCUGCUGGUUUCUCAGACAGAUGAAAGAAUUCAGAAAUGAAGUUACCAGCCCAAGUUCACAAAGAUUUGUGGCAGACAGUCGCAGUUUCCCAGCAGAAAAGCACCUUACGCAGCACAGCAGCCCAUACCAGCACUGCUAAAAGUAGCUGGCGGCACUACCUACCAGAAUCACAGAACUGUAGGGUUUGGAAAGGACCUCUGGAGAUGGGAGUCCAAACCUCUGCUCAAGCAGCUUGCCUACAACAGGUCACAGAGGCAGGUGACCAGAUGUGUCUCGACUAUCUCCAGAGGAGACUCCACACCUUCUCUGCACAGCCUGUUCCAGAGCUCUCUCAAUCUCACAGUGUGGAAGUUCUUUACUGAUGCCCAUUGUGGUGAAAGGAACUAAUGGUCACGGGCAGAUGGAAGAUGCCUUACAUCCAAACCCAUACAUCACUGAGCGACAGUCUUUAGUGAAAGCAUUCUUCUGAAAUGAGAACUGGUGGUGAACUAGAGUGAGCUCAACUUUAAAGGUUUGAUUAACCACCUAAGACAUUGGCUUUCCUUCAAAAGUUAUUUGCUAAUGCAGUUUUAAAGUUUUUGUCAAUAAAUGAUUCUCACUUAAUGGCUUGAUGCCUGAACUGAAACAGGUGCAGUACUGUUUUAAAUAGUUUUAAAAGGAAAAAAACAAUGGAUAUUAGGUUUGCCCUCCUAGUAACAUGUAUUUGUAAUUGAAGUAAAGCAAUGUUAAAGGCUUUGUGUGGUGCAAUAGCACAUCUCAGGGGUGCUUUGGUGAACAGGACACAGAGCAGUGCCUGCAGAGGCACUGUGCCAGAAGAGGUAAGGCAUUUUGUUAAUAAAAGAUGAGUUCAGUAUUAGAUGUGAAUAAAUCUUCUGUAAAAUAAAGCCAUUAGAGCUAGCAAGAAGUAUUACUCAAUCGUACUGUAGCAGACAGUUCAACUAAUGUAGCUGCUCCAGAUCUGACCCUCAGCCAAGUGAGACCUUAUUCUGAGAAAUGCUGUAGGACAAAGGAGGUUUGAUUUAGUACCAAAAUUUCACAGAAGUCUAUAAUCUAGAA